AGUGAACGCUGGCGGUAGGCCUAACACAUGCAAGUCGAACGGCAGCACAGUAAGAGCUUGCUCUUACGGGUGGCGAGUGGCGGACGGGUGAGGAAUACAUCGGAAUCUACUUUUUCGUGGGGGAUAACGUAGGGAAACUUACGCUAAUACCGCAUACGACCUACGGGUGAAAACAGGGGAUCUUCGGACCUUGCGCGAUUGAAUGAGCCGAUGUCGGAUUAGCUAGUUGGCGGGGUAAAGGCCCACCAAGGCGACGAUCCGUAGCUGGUCUGAGAGGAUGAUCAGCCAAACUGGAACUGAGACACGGUCCAGACUCCUACGGGAGGCAGCAGUGGGGAAUAUUGGACAAUGGGCGCAAGCCUGAUCCAGCCAUACCGCGUGGGUGAAGAAGGCCUUCGGGUUGUAAAGCCCUUUUGUUGGGAAAGAAAAGCAGCAGGUUAAUACCCCGCUGUUCUGACGGUACCCAAAGAAUAAGCACCGGCUAACUUCGU
rnacentral:rRNA from 1 species